AGUGAACGCUGGCGGUAGGCCUAACACAUGCGAGUCGAACGGCAGCACAGUAAGAGCUUGCUCUUACGGGUGGCGAGUGGCGGACGGGUGAGGAAUACAUCGGAAUCUACUUUUUCGUGGGGGAUAACGUAGGGAAACUUACGCUAAUACCGCAUACGACCUACGGGUGAAAGCAGGGGAUCUUCGGACCUUGCGCGAUUGAAUGAGCCGAUGUCGGAUUAGCUAGUUGGCGGGGUAAGGGCCCACCAAGGCGACGAUCCGUAGCUGGUCUGAGAGGAUGAUCAGCCACACUGGAACUGAGACACGGUCCAGACUCCUACGGGAGGCAGCAGUGGGGAAUAUUGGACAAUGGGCGCAAGCCUGAUCCAGCCAUACCGCGUGGGUGAAGAAGGCCUUCGGGUUGUAAAGCCCUUUUGUUGGGAAAGAAAAGCAGCAGGUUAAUACCCCGCUGUUCUGACGGUACCCAAAGAAUAAGCACCGGCUAACUUCGUG
rnacentral:rRNA from 1 species